rnacentral:rRNA from 1 species
UACGUAGGCAGCGAGCGUUGUUCGGAGUUACUGGGCGUAAAGCGUGCGUAGGUGGUUGUCUAAGUCUGGUGUGAAAUCUCCCGGCUCAACUGGGAGGGUGCGCCGGAAACUGGAUGACUGGAGUGCCGGAGAGGUAAGCGGAAUUCCUGGUGUAGCGGUGAAAUGCGUAGAGAUCAGGAGGAACACCUGUGGUGUAGACAGCUUACUGGACGGUGACUGACGCUGAGGCACGAAAGCGUGGGUAGCAAACAGG